GUGUGGUGUUUUUAUACUUGGUUUCUUCAAUAAAUAACCAAACCCGAUGUCUAAUCUUCUACUGGUUUGACAUAACAAUCUUCUCACAAGACUAACAUCAAGAAAUCAAAGAAAAACCUUUUACUGGUUUGACAUAACAAUCUUCUUCAGUUACAUGGGUAUGAAAAAUAACAUAACAAUUACAAUGUUAAAAGCAAAAGUAAAAGUAAAGAAAGACGCGCCUGAACUAAAAGAAUUAAAAUCAAAAGUGAAGAAAGGUGUGAUAGGAAGACAGAUGAGCAUGAAGCAACAGGAGCCUAACAAUUAUGGGAUGUGGAUUGUGGAGUACAGAGGAAAAUCAGAGAGAAGAGAAAGUGAGAGACGCUGAGAGCAAAAG
rnacentral:lncRNA from 1 species